CUAACUCCUUAUCACACAGGAAUGAUUCAGUUCUGUUACGGAGGCAGAACUAGCCCCAAGGUGAAAAAAAAAAUGGCAGUUUUAGUCAUCAUAUCAUCUCAUCCACCUUUCCUUACCUUACUGCACCGCAACUCCUCAUCCUACUUUAAUUUCACGCGGCUACACCUGGACUCGAUUCAACGGCGUAGAGGUUGUACAGAGCAGAUGAAAGGAAUGCAGCCAUCAAGGUCUACUAACACUGAACUGUCUCGUGAUCACAUACAGCUCCGGUGAGGGAGAUCCAGUAAGGGGGCGGAUGUCAAGCUGGAGCAUGAUUUUGAAACAUUUUUCCACCCAAACUAUCAAA